rnacentral:tRNA from 1 species
GAGGGGGGCAAGAUCAUGAAGUACUGCUAAUCCUCCGCCCUGUAGUUAAAUCCCACAGACCCU